GUCAGAUGAUGAAUUUAUCCAUUGAAGUGUUAAGCUCAUGAUGACACUUAUCCAUCACCCUAUUCUGAUGGCG